rnacentral:tRNA from 1 species
GGCGACGUAGCUCAGAGGAAGAGCAUCCGCUUCAUAUGCGGACGGUCGGGAUUUCAAAACUCCCCGUCGCUACCA